UCCUCCUCCUCUGCCCUCCCACCCCGCCUGGCAGAGGCGAAGCGGAGCGACGCCCACCGGGCCCCUGCAAGGGGGAGGGGGCCGCUGGAAGACAGGCGCGGGGGGGGCAGCCCACCAUCCCGUUUCUAAGAGCGGGCGACCCCCCCCCCAAAAAAACACUAGUAAGCCGACAGGGCGGGCAGGCAGGCGACAGGCCUUCUUCCCCGUUGCGUCUCUCUAGCCGCUGGCAUUCAAAGGUACACUGCUCCUGACCAUGGGGGCUCUGCUGUUAGCUUUUUCCCAGCUGCCCAACAACAUCCAGAAGGCCACAAGCUCCUCAGCCCUGCUUUAAGUUCUUUGGAUAAGGGCCUGCUCAGUCUCCCUGCCACCUAAAGAGAAGCAGAUGGUUACUAGGAAGGAAAUCUGUCAGGAGGGGGCAGCCACUGAGAAGGCCCUGCACCAAAAGCAACUUGCUGUCAGCUUGCAAGAAGCUAAUGAAAUGCUGUUUUUAUUUUGGGUGUUCCCAUCUUCCAUGGCAUGUUUUAAAAUUAUUUAUACAGAGAA